rnacentral:rRNA from 1 species
UAAGACGAACCGUGCGAACGUUAUUCGGAAUCACUGGGCUUAAAGCGCGUGUAGGCGGGUCGGUGCGUCGGCCGCUGAAAUCCCCCGGCUCAACCGGGGAAGGGGCGCCGAUACGACCGGCCUGGAGCGACGUAGGGGGGACUGGAACUUCCGGUGGAGCGGUGAAAUGCGUUGAGAUCGGAAGG